rnacentral:tRNA from 1 species
AUUUAAAUAGCUUAAGAUAAAGAGCAUAAUAUUGAAGAUAUUAAGGUAAUAUAAUUAUUUUUAAAUA